rnacentral:rRNA from 1 species
CACAUCCAAGGAAGGCAGCAGGCACGCAAAUUACCCACUCCCGGCACGGGGAGGUAGUGACAAAAAAUAACGAUACGGGACUCAUAUGAGGCCCCGUAAUCGGAAUGAGUACACUUUAAAUCCUUUAACAAGGAUCCAUUGGAGGGCAAGUCUGGUGCCAGCAGCCGCGGUAAUUCCAGCUCCAAUAGCGUAUAUUAAAGUUNNNNNNNNNNNNNNNNNNNNNNNNNNNNNNNNUCGGUUCGCCGCCUGCCGGUGUAACUGGCAUGCCGUGGUAUGUCCUGUCGGUGGCGUGCGGGCGCCUUGUCAGGCGGUUGUUCGGCUCGCAAGAGUUGCUUCAGCAGGCCGGAGGUUUCAACCCGUUCGCCUACUCAUCCUACCUAGGUGCUCUUCAUCGAGUGUCGAGGUAGGCCGACACGUUUACUUUGAACAAAUUAGAGUGCUCAAAGCAGGCUGAAAUUUCUGCCUGAAUAGUGGUGCAUGGAAUAAUAAAACAGGACCUUGGUUCUAUUUUGUUGGUUCUUAGGAACACAAGGUAAUGAUCAAUACGGACAGGCGGGGCUUGGCAAAUGCUUUCGCNNNNNNNNNNNNNGACCGUCGCAAGACGCACAAGAGCGAAAGCAUUUGCCAAGUAUGUCUUGAUUGAUCAAGAACGAAAGUUAGAGGUUCGAAGGCGAUCAGAUACCGCCCUAGUUCUAACCAUAAACGAUGCCAGCCAGCGAUCCGCCGAUGUUCCUCCGAUGACUCGGCGGGGAGCUUCUUCCCGGGAAACCAAAGCUUUUGGGUUCCGGGGGAAGUAUGGUUGCAAAGCUGAAACUUAAAGGAAUUGACGGAAGGGCACCACCAGGAGUGGAGCCUGCGGCUUAAUUUGACUCAACACGGGAAACCUCACCAGGCCAGGACAUUGGAAGGAUUGACAGAUUGAUAGCUCUUUCUUGAUUCAGUGGGUAGUGGUGCAUGGCCGUUCUUAGUUGGUGGAUCGAUUUGUCUGGUUAAUU